rnacentral:rRNA from 1 species
UAGGGAAUCUUCCACAAUGGACGCAAGUCUGAUGGAGCAACGCCGCGUGAGUGAAGAAGGUUUUCGGAUCGUAAAGCUCUGUUGUUGGUGAAGAAGGAUAGAGGUAGUAACUGGCCUUUAUUUGACGGUAAUCAACCAGAAAGUCACGGCUAACUACGUGCCAGCAGCCGCGGUAAUACGUAGGUGGCAAGCGUUAUCCGGAUUUAUUGGGCGUAAAGCGAGCGCAGGCGGUUGCUUAGGUCUGAUGUGAAAGCCUUCGGCUUAACCGAAGAAGUGCAUCGGAAACCGGGCGACUUGAGUGCAGAAGAGGACAGUGGAACUCCAUGUGUAGCGGUGGAAUGCGUAGAUAUAUGGAAGAACACCAGUGGCGAAGGCGGCUCUCUGGUCUGCAACUGACGCUGAGGCUCGAAAGCAUGGGUAGCGAACAGG